rnacentral:rRNA from 1 species
GACAGAGGUGCCAAGCGUUAGGCGGAAUCACUGGGCUUAAAGCGUGUGUAGGCGGAUCGUUAAGUACCUUGUGAAAUCCCACGGCUCAACCGUGGAACUGCUGGGUAUACUGGCGAUCUUGAGCCACCUAGGGGCGAGCGGAACAAACGGUGGAGCGGUGAAAUGCGUAGAUAUCGUUUGGAACGCCAACGGUGAAAACAGCUCGCUGGGGGUGUGCUGACGCUGAGACACGAAAGCGUGGGGAGCAAACAGG